AUCCUUCUCUGGUUCAAAAGCAUGAUGAAUGGGUGUUAACACAUUUGUCUGGCAUGGACCUGCCUUAAAUCUUAUUACACAUUUGGUACAUUUCCCAUUGGACA